GGGGGUGUAGCUCAGCCCGGUAGAGCGCUACGUUCGCAACGUAGAAGCCGUGGGUUCAAGUCCCAUCACCUCCA
rnacentral:tRNA from 1 species